rnacentral:tRNA from 1 species
GAUGACAUAGUAUAAGAGGAAGUACAUUUAAUUUCCAAUUAAAAGGUUCAAAGGAUGUUAUUA